AUAGGGGAGCCGGAGGGAAACCGAGUCUUAAUUGGGCGUUAAGUUGCAGGGUAUAGACCCGAAACCCGGUGAUCUAGCCAUGGGCAGGUUGAAGGUUGGGUAACACUAACUGGAGGACCGAACCGACUAAUGUUGAAAAAUUAGCGGAUGACCUGUGGCUGGGGGUGAAAGGCCAAUCAAACCGGGAGAUAGCUGGUUCUCCCCGAAAGCUAUUUAGGUAGCGCCUCGUGAAUUCAUCUCCGGGGGUAGAGCACUGUUUCGGCUAGGGGGCCAUCCCGGCUUACCAACCCGAUGCAAACUGCGAAUACCGGAGAAUGUUAUCACGGGAGACACACGGCGGGUGCUAACGUCCGUCGUGAAGAGGGAAACAACCCAGACCGCCAGCUAAGGUCCCAAAGUCAUGGUUAAGUGGGAAACGAUGUGGGAAGGCCCAGACAGCCAGGAUGUUGGCUUAGAAGCAGCCAUCAUUUAAAGAAAGCGUAAUAGCUCACUGGUCGAGUCGGCCUGCGCGGAAGAUGUAACGGGGCUAAACC
rnacentral:rRNA from 1 species